GAAUAAGAUGCUGGCCUAGAAAUCCGGAGAUUUGAGUUCCAGGACUCCGCAUAGACAUUGAAGCCAGCUGGGUGACUUUAGGCCAGUGGUUCCCCCUGUGGGGCCCAUGGGGGGGAUUUGAUUUUUAAUGGGGGCAAUUUGAACCUUGUUUAAACCAAGUUAAUGGCCUUUUAGGCUUCCUCCAGUGUGAGUAGAGUUCACAUUACACAUUGGCAUCCUUCAGUCUCAAGAGACUAUGGUAUCGUGCUCUGGAAAGAGAUCCUAAAACAGCAUCCAGUGUGACUAAAAAGGCCAAUUCGAGAGUGGCAAUCCCUUCCACACUGAGGGCAGAUACAUUCUGUCCCCUGCCCAGCCCCCAGAUUUUGCUGGUUCCGGGACUGCCUCUUUGCCUCAGCCUGCCGAACAAGUGUCUCUUCGAAUUGGAGAAGGCCAUGCUGCUUCUUUAGCCUCCAAGCUGAACGAUCGGAGGUCAAGGUUUCCCAGUUGUUAAUGUCCAUUCCCAGGGCCUUUAGGUCCCUCUUGCAGAUAUCCUUAUAUCGCAGCUGUGGUCUCCCUCUGAGAUGCUUUCCCUGCACUAAUUCUCCAUACAGGAGAUCUUUCUGUAGUUUAGAAGUUCUGUAAUGGAAUAGAAUGAGAUCUAUUGCCAGAUGUUUUGAGAAGGUCAACUUAUCUGAAAUCUUCUCUGCUUCUCUAAGAAUGUUUUCUUCCUGUGGAGCAGCUUUUAAAUGAGCCAUCAGUGCUUCUCUUAAGCAGCAAUUCAUUUCCUUUUCGUAUGUUAAAAUUGAUUGACUAUAUACCGCAAUCCAGGAAGAUAUGUUCCCAACCUGGUUCUUCACAUUGUCAAAUCCUCCUAAAAUUCAGUUGGAAUUUCUUCAGCCAUUGUGUAAUUUUUUUAAAUGUAAUUCAUAACUGUAGCAUUCCCUCAAUUAAAUUAGUUCCUUUAUAAUA